CUGCUUGCAUCCAGAUCCCCCUGUUCCCAAGCUGCGGCAGCACCUGGCUGUGGCUUGCCACUGUGGACACCAGCACCUGCACCUGUGAAGCUGCCCAGAAGCCUUUCAGCACUGUGAAAGCCCCAGAGCAUCUGUCAAGUGUCCCUUUGUGCUUGGGGGGUUUGGCAGGAGGAACAGGUGAAGCUCAGCUCAGCUCUGUGGGACCUCUCCGAGAGCCUCCGACUGGCACUGCACAGCCUGUCCAGCGGGGAGGCUGUGCCAGAGCAAAAAUAAGUUGGUUAUAAUCCCGGCUGUGAAAGGACUGGAGACCUAGGACCGGCAGCAGAAAAUUCCCUGUUUGUGCUCCCAGCCUCUGCAGAAGCCGACCCCAGGAUCCAGGCACACCAUUGCCCAUCGGUGGGAUCGCAGACCCAGCAGCUCUCCAGGUGGUCAGCGGGGAAAAGAGUGGCCGGUGCAUCCCCCUGAACUACUGACUGUGUGCUGCACAGUACUCAGCCAGUCUUGGCUGUGUGCUUUGUUGUGCUAUUCCAGCUGAUUUAUACAGAGGAUGUAUGCAGGUGCUGCUGUUAUUAUGGUCCCUAAAACUGGUUGGACUUUGCAGUAUCUGGUAGCUAUAAAACUCUGUCAACAAAACCAGAAAUUAAUAUUUUUAAAAUUUAUUAACCAAUAAAGCUAACAAUCAAAUAUUACUUCUGACUUGCAAAUAACAACAGUGUUUGUACUGUGCCGCACUAAUUAACGUUAUGGAAGUAUUCUCUGGGGACGUGUCACAGUUGCUUCUGGAUCAAAAAUCAAAGUGAAGAUAUGGGUCUGGUGCACUAAAUGGGCAGUAAAUAACACGUUCAUUGCCUUUAAUUAUUUAACAAGAACAGCAAUAAUCCAAGAUAAUUUAGAAUAUGUACAAAAAUACAGUAUGGGAAUGCAGUGCUGCAGAAGAUGUGUGUCUUCCUCCCUGCCCCAGAGACAAAGUUCUCGCUUUAUUUAACCCACAGACAGCAGUUCUCUCUUCACCACGCUUCUCAAGAGCCGGAGGUAUUUCCUAGGGCUGAGACACAAUUUCACCUCCACAGCUCAGUUAUUGUGUAGUCUGUCUCUUGACAGAACUAGCAGGACUGAUUAUUUUAUCUUCUUUUAUUACACAUUGGUGCACACACCUUAUGGGAUUGUGUGCCCCCUUCUCCCUUUUGGUGUUUAUUCUUGCGGUAGGGUUGGCCUAUUGUUGCAAUGAAAGCACUUUCUAAUGCCAUGCACAGCUCAGGUGUUCAGUGUUAAAUAAGCAAGGAAGAAAUGCACCCUUUGGCAUAGUUAAUUUUAAUUUGUCCUCUGAGAUUUGGCCCCAAGUUUUACAAAACGAGGGAGAGAGCAUGCAAUAAAUAGCUCAUGCUGCUGCGUUGCAGCACAGACAGGAUUUUGCUCGGAAGGCACUUGGAGCUUUCCCACCACCCAGGGCCCUCAGGCGCAGAAGUGCUCGGGGCCACGUGCUCGGCCUGGCCUGGAGGCAGCACCCUGGGCAGAGGAGGCUGUUUGUCUGCUGUUUGCAGGCCUCCACUUCCCUGCUCCACACAUUUCUGAGUGGCCUCCCUGGUUCCCUGGCGUCCAGCCACCUCCUCAGCGGUCCCUGUAUGUGACCUCGCUUCUGCGAGGUCCUUCAGCAGGGAGGGAUGCGUGGGGCUGGCAGAGGUGGUGUUUGUGCUGUGGGACAGCGAACUGCGUGAAUUGCCUGCUGCGCUGCCUGCUCCU